CGGGGUGUAGCUCAGCCUGGUAGAGCACUAGCUUCGGGAGCUAGGGGCCGGAGGUUCGAAUCCUCUCACCCCGACCA
rnacentral:tRNA from 6 species